rnacentral:rRNA from 1 species
CCUACGGGGGGCAGCAGUGGGGAAUCUUGCACAAUGGGGGAAACCCUGAUGCAGCGACGCCGCGUGAAGGAAGAAGUAUUUCGGUAUGUAAACUUCUAUCAGCAGGGAAGAAAAUGACGGUGCCUGACUAAGAACCCCCUGCUAACUACGUGCCAGCAGCCGCGGUAAUACUUAGGGGGCAAGCGUUAUCCGGAUUUACUGGGUGUAACGGGAGCGUAGGCGGUGCAGCAAGUCAGAAGUGAAAGCCCGGGGCUCAACCCCGGGACUGCUUUUGAAACUGUUGAACUGGAUUGCAGGAGAGGUAAGUGGAAUUCCUAGUGUAGCGGUGAAAUGCGUAGAUAUUAGGAGGAACACCAGUGGCGAAGGCGGCUUACUGGACUGUAAAUGACGCUGAGGCUCGAAAGCGUGGGGAGCAAACAGGAUUAGAUACCCUAGUAGUC